UGCAAGUGUCGUUUGCAAACUAGGCCCCGAGUCUGGCUUCUCGAAUGCUGAGUUUGCAUUCCCUGCCCUCAGACUCGCUCCAGCUGCACCACGAAUGGUUUAUUUCCCGGGACCACAGUGAAAUCUCGCUCCCGUCUGGCCUCCCUUGGCGGCUUCCUAAGACCGUGCAGCCUGCGCCUUUCUUAUUAAACGCGCCUGUCUUCCUCUCUCCCCAGUUUCACAUUCCUGGAAAGUAAAUAAAAGGGGCCCACACCCCAGUCGCCCAAUGGGUGAAGGCAGCAUGAGUGAUCCCUGAAUGUGCCCUUGGGCAUACUUAGCAAUUCAUUUUUGAUUAGGAGAAAGAAGACAGCCAUUCAUUUGAAAAGUUCUAGGACUACAGGCAUAUACAUCACGC
ensembl:lncRNA